rnacentral:tRNA from 1 species
GAGGGUAUAGCACAGUGGUAGAGUGCCUGUUUAACAUUCACAAGGUCCUGGGUUCAAUCCCCAGUAUCUCCA